rnacentral:lncRNA from 1 species
AUUGUUGUUUGUCAUAUUGCUAAUAAAGACAUUCGGAUGUACAGGUGCUAAUGAGGGUAGUAAAGAAGGGGUUCAGAGUGAGGGUGCUGUCAUAGGUGGGCCAAUUGUACGAGGAAAGAUGACUUUGUGAGUGAAGAAAUUAAUUUAGAGGAUUUUGUGUAACACUUUAUAUUUGACUCGAAAAUCGAUUAGAUAUAAAAUAUUGUAUUUAUUGUCAAAACAAUUCAAAUUAAUAUUAAAAAAUGAUCGAAACUAAAAAUAAAUCAAGCAUGACCAAUAUUAAAAUCAAAAGAUGUUAUGAGUGUUAAUCAAACUCAAAUCAACUCAAAAUUAAAUCAAUUUUAAUACCUCAUAAUUUUGAACAACAGGUUCAUGAAACUAUUUUAAAAGGUUGGAUGAAAGAUCAAAUUUAAAAGAUGAUUUUACUUCUUGAGGUGUGACUGACACUAUCUAGAAUCAUUCAUGGAUAGGGUAUUUCCAAGACCUAAACAAGCACUUCUGUUUUUUGGAAGAAAACAAGGAGGAGGAAUAACAGAUUAAGAACCACCUAGCUAAAGGCACAAGGGAUGGAAGAGUUUCUGUUUGGAGAGAGGAGAAGAAUGAACACUCAAAUUUGGGAUAAUUUAGGAUCACAUUAGAAUUCUAAGUUUAUUCGGAUACAUCUAUAUUACAUAGUCGAGUUACACCAAAUACGAGCCGAAGACUCCUUACCAUUCACAUCUCUGACUUUGGAUAUAUCAUUCUCAAUUUGUUAAUAGUUGAUGUAGGACACAAGUUAUUUAAACUAUGAAUGCUGUUCAUCAAUUCCUCAAAUACAACAUUGGCAAUCAAUCUGUUGACUGCUUCUGUAUAAUGGAUUCCAUCCCAGCUCAUAUACGAAGAAGGGUCAUUGCAACAUUGUCUUAAUGGCGGAUAACCACAAGCUCUCGAAAGAUUGUAAUUGUAAAGACCUCCAGUUCCACAGCAAGCCUUCAAUGUUUCUUUAAACCCUGGAACCAUUCGAGAAAAAAUCGAUUAAGGUUGAUGACAGAUUAUGUUUCUUGUUUCAAAGAAAGUGAUCAAACCAAACCCUACCAAAUUUGUUUGGAGAAUGGUAAAUCCUCAAUGUAGUGCUGUAAUAAUCAGCAUAAACAAUGUUGGUGUCGGGAUGAAGGUUUCGGAUUUUUUCGAGUUCUUUUCGAAGUAAUUGAUUGUGGUAUUGAGAGAAUUGGUUCAACCAUGUUAGACAACCAGUUAAGGGAUCAUAUUGAUCCUUGUCUGAACCUUGAAACAGUGUCAAAUAAGUGGGAGAGCAUCCAAUUGGGAACUUUCCAGGGACCAGAAAUGUCACUGCACCUAACUCGAUCAACUCCUACAUAUCACAUUCAAAUGUUAUAAUAAUCUGAAACACAGUACCGAUCAACAAUUGCCUUAAAAAACUGGUGAUUCUUACAUUGAUUGAUGAAGUUAUAGAAUCAACAACAGGAGGAACAAAGUUUCGAACAUCCUCAAUGCUUUUUCCUUGCUUGAAGGCAUGACCGUAAUUAUUUCCCCCAAUUUCUCCCAUCACAAUCAAGGAGUUCCGUAGGAGCUGUUUGAAAUCUGUACGUAAAUUAAGAAACUGUUUGAAGGAAUUCACUUCAUCUACUAAAGAUACGUUGGUGCUGGGAUUAUAGAUUCCAGGAAAUGAAGAAUUGAGUGCACCAGCACCCCCAACUGCAAAAUUCACACCAUUUUCAAAAUUCUCUGAUGUUCCAUUUUUAUAUCGAUAAUAUGGUGGAAGAAAUGGCAAUCCCAAAGCUUCAGCUGCAAAACCAUAGACAAAUAUUAUCAAAUAUAUUAAUGGACAUAUAAAUAUGCAUUUGAUAUCGCAAUCACAAUGGCGAAUCUUGAGACUAAAGUUUGGAGAGCCUAAUAAAAUUUCGCAUAUAGAGUUUAAUUUAUUUUUCUUAAUAAAUUAUAUAUUAUUUUGGUCAAAGCAAAUUAUAUAAUAAAUACAUAUAAAUAUAUCUAAAUUAUAUAUUUAUUAAUAUGUUUAUAUGUAAACAUAGGAUUUAAAAUUAUUCAUUAGAUUUAAUAAUUUAAUUUAAUAAUUAUGAUAAUAUGGAUAAGAGUCCAAGAAAACAAACCAUGUAUACCCAAGUAGACUUUAUCCAUCUAAUAUUAAUGGUGAAAUUCCAAAACAUGGCUCAAGUGGGUGAUGUAAAAAAUAAAACUUAUUUAGAAUUCCAGCUUUAUAAAAAAAAAUAAUUUUAACUCUUUAUUUAAUUUUUUAUUUUUUUAAUUCUUAAACUUGAGUUUUUUGGUAAAUCACUUUAAAAUGAAUGAAAAAAUUAAGCAGUUUUUAACUUUGCUGACGUAACAUACACAUGUAUUGUCACGUGAAUAACAUAUCAAUAUUUAAUUAAUUUUUUUAAUUCUAAAAUUUCAAAAAAAAAUAAAAAUCAUUAAAAGUAUUUAAAAAGUAUAAAAUAUAUAUAAUAUUUUAAAAUUUUAAAAAAAAUUAACUAAAUACUUACAUAUCAUCCAUGUAUAUGCCACGUCUGUAAAGUUAAUAAAUGUUACUUUUUCAUCUAUUUUAAGGUAAGUGAACAAAAAAUAUAAGUUUAAGAGUUUAAAAAAAAAAGCAAAAAAAAUUAUAUAAAUAGUUAAAAUAUUUUUUUGGAAAAUCAAAAUAAAAAAUUUAUUAUGCCAUAUAAAAAAGAUGGGUAAUGACCAUUUAUAUUUGGAUAUUCAUAUUUAUUGGCAAUUGAAAAUGAAGAUGUGGUUCAAGAUUUUUCUCUUCUUUUACGAGGUGGGCCAUUGGUGAUUAAUGACCCUACUCUUGGUAUCAGACAUGAGACCACUAACAAUGGUGAGAUUGUAAUUCAAAUAAAUUGAAAAUUAAAGGGUUGAAGAUGAAAGGGAGAGAAAGAACUGUUAUUGAUAAUGAAGAAGAUGUUCUUAAGGAACUUGUGGAAAUUGAACUGAGAAGGUUAAAUUUGGAUUUAUAGGACGUUGUUUGAUCUGUGCAUUUUUGAGGUCAGUGUUUUUGGUAGCUUCUUUGCUAAUUAUUAUUCGAGGGGUUUUAUAGGAUUCUUUGGUAUAGAAGGUUCAUUUGUUUUUGUUGUUGAAUGUGGUCUUAAGGCCUAUUAGCUUGCAUUGUCUUUUGAGUUUCGUGGGUUGUGUACUUGUGUUCUUUUAGGACUACUUGUCGUUUUAAUUGUUGUUGUGUUCUUGGUUUCUAGUUUGAAGGAGUUGUUCUCGUGAUUUCAUAUUUUAAAGUGUUAUUUAUCGGAUAAAUGAUUGGUUCCUCAACAAUAAAAGAUAUUAUUUUUGUGUUGAUGUUUUGUUCCUAAUUUCUGUAAAGAGACAAAUACAGCUCACAGAAUGAGACAUCUUAAUUGGUAAAAAUACAAUUUGCAAGAACUCAUAGAAAAGGUGUUUGUAUUGUGUGCAAUAUUAAUUGUGGAGUAUGCAUGUGGCAUGACUCAAGUUGAUGGUAUCUCUCAUGGGAUCUUGCAGGUAUUGUCUCCUCCAACUGAGAAGCUCUUUCUGUAAAUUGUACAUGACUCUCUCAACGAAGAUUGGAGACAAAACUUUAAUAAGAGAACAAUAUCUUCAGUUGUUAAGGGACUAGUCGACUACUUGAUGGAUGACUUUUUAAAAACUUCUCCCAAAAAAGUUCCAUUUAAACACAAUGUAUCCUUCGAUUGUGUGACUUAGGACAAGAUUCAAGAGCUGGUAAGUAAAGAAAAUCAUAGAAAAAGAAGAGAAAAAACAAGUACCAAGGAAAUCGAUAACCAAGCGGCCAUCGCAAUAGCGGCCAGUUGGACGGUGGAAGAAGGUGCAGCCAUUUGGAGGAAAAGCAGUGUGAGGAAGCUUGCCCGUUUCCAAAACUGAAAUCUCAAUUGAGUUGCCGGUAUCCGACACGGAAUCCCCGAAGCUGAUAAUCGAUGUGAAACAUCCUUUCACCGGUGAACUAAUGCUGGAUAUUACGGCAAAGAGAAAAGACAACAAUGAUGAACUGUUGUUUUAACCAAUAUGAUGAUAAAAAGUAAGUAGCCAUUAACGUAUAAAUGUCAAUUUAAACAAGAAAUAAACAGUUUUGCAUUCAAAGCUUUGAGACACUGAUGCCUAUAUAUAUAGCACAAAAGGGCUGAGUUGUAAAUUCCAAAUUUUAUUUUUAAAAAAUUAAAAUAAAACAUAAACGUAUUAAAUAUGUAGAUUUAUUGUAUAAUUCAGUGAUGAAUUGAUAUUAAUAUUAAUUUUAAGUUAAUUUCUGCUAUUAGUACUCAUACUUAGCAAAACUUAAGGAUUUAAUUCAUGUACUUUUCAAAGGUUAGAAUUUCAGUUUUUAUACGAACAAUAAUUGUUAAAUCCAUUAAGUAAAAUUUUAUUAUUUCCAAAAUCUGAUGUACCAAACAUAUUAUCUUAUGUGUAAUGCCAUGCCAAUUUAUCAUUUCCAGAUACUACUUACUAAAAAUUCGAUUAGGGCUAGUUUAACAUUGCUUUUGAAAGAUGCUUUUAAACAAAAGCGUCGUGAAAAAGUGUUUUUCAAAAGUACUUUUUGGAAAUUUUAAUUUAAGAUUUAAGUGUUUAGUAUUGUUGUCAAAAAGUGUUUUUGAGAAAUAAAAUGUCCAUUUUAGACAUGAUAUUAUAAAGUUACAAAUACGCAUUUAAAUAAGGUUCAAAUUAGUUAAUAUUAUGAUAUUUUAGCAAGAAUAUAAAAAAUAAUUUAUUAUAACUCGUUAAUAUUUUAAUAUAAAAAUAUAAAUUUUAAAUAUUUUUAAGAAUUUAAUAUUAAUUAUUUACAAUAUAUAAAUAUAACUGUUAAAUAUUUGUAAUUAAAUAUUAAUUGUAUUAUUUUAAAGUUUCAAAAUCAUGGUUCCUAUUGGAAACCCUAACCGAAACUCCAUUUUCGAAACUUUGAAUUCGUUGAAAUUAUUGUUCAUAUUAAUCGUCAUUGUUGAUAAAGUCAGUCGGUCCCAACCAAUAUUGUUUGCCAUUUUGCUAAUUCCAUCCCCACCUUUAUUGUGAACACAGCACCUUUUCUAACUAUAAAUGUUACGUACGUUGUGUGGUGUGUGAAAUCAACUUAACAUAAUGUAUAUCAUGGAACUAGAUUCCCUUUUAUGAGGGUAGUAUUGAAGGGGUUCAGAGUGAUAGAAAGAUAAUAUGUUUCAGCAGUACACUCGAACUUAAAUAUCUUUCAAAGUGAAAUAAUGAAUUAAGCCAACUAAAAUGGUGAGGUUGUCUUUAAUGCUUACUUUCCAACGUGAUUGAAUUGUUCUUUUCUUUUACGUGGGUCACGCUGGGGUUCUUAAAAGCACCUCUAUAAUUGGUCCCAUUACGUGGAAAGGACACAAGUUAUUUAAACUAGGAUUAAUGCUGUUCAUCAAUUCCUCAAAUACAACAUUGGCAAUCAAUCUAUUGACUGCUUCUGUAUAAUGGAUUCCAUCCCAGCUCAUAUACGAAGAAGGGUCAUUGCAACAUUGUCUUAAUGGCGGAUAACCACAAGCUCUCGAAAGAUUGUAAUCGUAAAGACCUCCAGUUCCACAGCAAGCCUUCAAUGUUUCUUUAAACCCUGGAACCAUUCGAGAAAAAAUCGAUUAAGGUUGAUGACAGAUUAUGUUUCUUGUUUCAAAGAAACUGAUCAAACCAAACCCUACCAAAUUUGUUUGGAGAAUCGAAAAUCCUCAAUGUAGUGCUGUAAUAAUCAGCAUAAACAAUGUUGGUGUCGGGAUGAAGGUUUCGGAUUUUUUCGAGUUCUUUUCGAAGUAAUUGACUGUGGUGUUGAGAGAACUGGUUCAACCAUGUUAGACAACCAGUUAAGGGAUCAUAUUGAUCCUUGUCUGUGUUGAAAAGUCAACAAAGGUAGGAAGCAACUUGUUAAAAAGGUUGAGCAAGUUGCACCGAAUGUUGAAAAGUUGAAUGGGAUAAUUGCAAUUUUGGUCCCUAAUUUUUUAGGCCAUUUGCAAGUUAGUCCCUGAACCUCAACUAUAAAUAGGCCUUUUCAUUUUUCAUUUCAACCAUCCCAACCAAUCUUUCUCUCUUAGUUUUCUCUCUUCUCCCAUUUGAGAAUUCUUAAGGAAUUCUAUUUGUUUGUAAUAUUUUGGAGAUAGUAAAGUUAUCAUCUGGUGUUAGUGCCCGAGGACGUAGGUAUAAUUUACCGAACCUCGUUAAAUCUCUUGUGUUCUUUCUUGUCCUAUUUUUCUUUCAAUAUUUGAGGGUAUAAUAGUAGUAUUUAAUUGUGCUAUUAAAUUACUAUAGAAGGGAUAUUCUGUCUAAGGAAAGACUUGGUAUUUAAGAGAUCCAUGUGAUCCACCUCUCUUCCCUGGGAAUUGAACUUUGUGUGAUUUUUUAGUACAAUAAUUUACACGCUUCCGACCCUAUUGGAACAACAAGUGGUAUCAAGAGCCGAAGGUUAAUCGUAGUAUGCUCUGUGGUUGCAGUUUAAACUGAUCUUCCACAUCAGAAAAGAUUUCCUUAGGUAUAUUGAAAGAUUAUGGAGAAAACGGUCGGUGUAGGAGCUUCAACAUCGUCCAUGUGGACAAGACCGACAAUUGCAAAUGCAAGAUUGGCCGUGGAGAUCUUUGAUGGCACGGGCCAUUUUGGUAUGUGGCAAAGUGAGGUUCUAGAUGCCCUUUUUCAGCAGGGUCUAGACAUUGCCAUUGAUGAAGAGAAACCAGAUGAUGUACAGGAGAAAGAUUGGAAGGCGAUCAAUCGGUUGGCAUGUGGCACAAUUCGAUCAUGCCUUUCUCGAGAGCAGAGGUAUGCUUUUUCAAAGGAGACUUCUGCAAAUAAGUUGUGGGUGGCACUUGAAGAAAAAUUUUUGAAGAAAAACAGUCAAAAUAAGCUCCACUUGAAGAAAAGACUGUUUCGCUUCACAUACGUCCCAAGUACCACAAUGAAUGAUCACAUCACCAAAUUUAAUCAGUUAGUCACUGAUUUGCUGAAUAUGGAUGAGACAUUCAAAGAUGAAGAUUUGGCUUUGAUGCUGUUGGGGUCACUUCCUGAGGAGUUUGAGUUCCUAGAAACUACUCUACUUCAUGGCAGGAGUGAUAUAUCUCUGAGCGAAGUCUGUGCGGCCUUAUACAGUUAUGAACAGAGAAAGAAGGACAAACAGAAAAACUCAAUCAGAGAUACAGAAGCUUUAGUAGUCCGAGGUCGUUCAUACACUCGGAAGAAAACUCAAAAGGGGAGAUCAAAGUCAAAGUCCAGACUCGGGAAAGAUGAAUGUGCUUUUUGUCAUGAGAAAGGCCACUGGAAGAAAAAUUGUCCAAAGCUGAAGAAUAAGGGAAAAGCUGCUGUAGAUGCUUGUGUUGCUAAGCAUGAUACUAGUGACUCUGAACUAUCACUGGUUGCAUCAUCAUCGUCGUUCCAUUCAGAUGAGUGGAUAUUGGAUUCGGGUUGUACCUAUCAUAUGUCCCCUAACCGGGAGUGGUUCUCUGAUUUAGUAGAACUAAAUGGAGGAGUUGUUUAUAUGGGCAAUGACAAUGCCUGUAAAACUGUUGGGAUAGGUUCAAUCCAAUUAAAGAAUCAAGAUGGAUCAACCAGAGUUCUGACUGAUGUUCGGUACGUGCCCAGUUUGAAGAAAAAUCUCAUCUCAUUGGGAGCCUUGGAAUCCAAUGGUUCAGUUGUUACUAUGAGAGAUGGGAUUUUGAAAGUGACAUCUGGCGCACUUGUGAUAUUGAAGGGCAUCAAGAAAAAUAACUUGUAUUACUACCAAGGUAGUACAGUUAUUGGAGCAGUCGCUGCAGCUUCCGGUAACAAAGACUUGGACUCAAUGCAGUUGUGGCAUAUGAAGUUGGGACAUGCCAGCGAAAAAUCCUUGCAAAUUCUGGCAAAGCAAGGAUUGUUGAAAGGUGCAAAGGCUUGCAAAUUAAAAUUUUGUGAGCACUGUGUUCUGGGAAAGCAAAAGAGAGUGAAAUUCGGCACUGCUAUCCAUAAUACAAAAGGUAUUUUGGAAUAUAUUCACUCAGAUGUGUGGGGGCCUUCCAAAACACCUUCGUUGGGAGGAAAACACUACUUUGUUACUUUUGUUGAUAACUUUUCCAGAAGAGUUUGGGUGUAUACCAUGAAAACUAAAGAUGAAGUGCUUGGAGUUUUUCUUAAAUGGAAAACUAUGAUCGAAAACCAGACGGCAAGAAAAUCAAGCGGCUUAGGACGGACAAUGGAGGGGAAUAUAAAAGUGAUCCGUUCUUCGAUGUGUGCCAAGAGUAUGGUAUUGUUCGACACUUCACAGUUAGGGAUACACCACAACAGAAUGGAGUGGCAGAGCGUAUGAAUCGAACAUUGCUGGAGAAAGUUCGAUGUAUGUUGUCCAAUGCUGGGUUGGGCAAGCAAUUUUGGGCUGAGGCUGUGACAUACGCUGGCCAUCUUGUUAAUCGUUUGCCAUCAUCUGCAUUAGAAAGAAAAACUCCUAUGGAGGUAUGGUCUGGAAAAUCGGCUACAGAUUAUGAUUCCUUCAAUGUGUUUGGAACCACUGCAUAUUACCAUGUGAAGGAGUCAAAGUUAGAUCCGAGGGCAAAGAAAGCUCUCUUUAUGGGAAUCACUUCUGGAGUGAAGGGAUUUCGUCUUUGGUGCUUAAGCACAAAGAAAAUGAUCUGUAGCAGAGAUGUUACCUUUGAUGAAUCUGCCACAUUGAAAAAGGUAGCAGAUAAAGAUAUUCAGACGAGCAAUACUCCACAGCAGGUGGAGUGUACUCCAAAACAGGUGGAGUUUGAGCAGAUGGGGAUUUGCCCAGUUAAUAAGUCUAAUUCUCCAGCCACAAUGGAGGAAUUAGAGGUUGAAGAGGUUCUGAUCCAAGAACCACUAAGUACACCAGAACCAGUUGCAGUUGCAAGGCCACGGAGAGAAAUUCGUAAACCUGCUCGAUUUACUGAUAUGGUGGCCUACGCCCUUCCCGUUGGUGAUGAUAUUCCUAUCACUUAUCAAGAAGCAAUGCAAUGCUUAGAAAGUGAUAAAUGGAAAAGCGCCAUGGAUGAAGAAAUGCAGUCUCUCCUGAAGAAUAAUACUUGGGAAUUGGCGCAAUUACCGAAAGGUAAAAGGGCAAUCGGAUGCAAGUGGGUAUUCGCAAAGAAAGAUGGAUCUCCUAGCAAGAAGGAUAUUCGCUACAAGGCAAGAUUGGUAGCUAAAGGCUACGCUCAGAAGGAGGGAAUUGACUACAAUGAUGUAUUUUCCCCUGUUGUGAAGCAUUCCUCCAUUAGAAUUUUGUUGGCCUUGGUAGCACAGUUGAAUUUGGAGCUAGCUCAACUUGAUGUUAAGACGGUUUUCUUGCAUGGUGAGUUAGAAGAGGAGAUCUAUAUGACUCAGCCAGAAGGAUACACAGAUGCUGGUGGUAGAAAUUGGGUUUGUAAGCUUAACAAAUCGCUAUAUGGAUUGAAGCAAUCCCCGAGGCAGUGGUACAAGCGAUUUGAUAGCUUUAUGAGAAGGCAGAAGUACACAAGAAGCAAAUAUGACAAUUGUGUGUAUUUGCAGAAGCUGCAUGACGGAUCUUUCAUUUAUCUACUCUUGUAUGUUGAUGAUAUGUUAAUCGCUUCGAAGAGCCAAAAUGAGAUAGAUAAGCUGAAGGCUCAGUUGAAUCAAGAGUUCGAGAUGAAAGAUCUAGGUGAGGCCAAGAAGAUUCUCGGCAUGGAGAUAAGUAGAGAUAGACAGAGAGGCAAGCUUUGUUUGAAUCAGAAGCAAUAUCUGAAAAAGGUAUUACAAUGUUUUGGUGUAAAUGAAAACACAAAACAUGUAAGUACCCCACUUGCUUCUCAUUUGAAACUUAGUGCUCAAUUAUCUCCGAAAACUGAAGAAGAAAGAGAAUAUAUGGCGAAAGUCCCAUAUGCUAAUGCAGUUGGGAGUUUGAUGUAUGCGAUGGUGUGUACGAGGCCUGACAUUUCACAAGCUGUUGGAGUUGUGAGCAGGUAUAUGCAUGAUCCUGGAAAAGGACAUUGGCAAGCUGUGAAAUGGAUUCUACGGUAUCUUCGAAAAACCAUAGAUGUUGGUUUAAUUUUUGAACAGGAUGAAGCACUUGGUCAGUUUGUAGUUGGAUAUGUUGAUUCCGACUUUGCUGGUGAUUUAGAUAAACGUCGUUCAACUACGGGGUAUCUGUUUACUCUUGCGAAAGCCCCAGUAAGUUGGAAGUCUACCUUACAGUCUACAGUAGCUGUGUCUACUACAGAGGCAGAAUAUAUGGCAGUUACAAAAGCUGUUAAGGAGGCUAUUUGGCUUAAUGGAUUAUUGAAAGACUUGGGAGUUGUUCAAAGUCACAUUAGUCUAUAUUGUGACAGUCAGAGUGCUAUUCAUUUAGCGAAAAAUCAAGUCUAUCAUUCAAGAACCAAGCAUAUCGACGUAAGAUAUCACUUUGUGCGGGAAGUCUUUGAAAAAGGAAAAAUUCUACUUCAGAAGAUUCCGACAGCAGAUAAUCCCGCAGAUAUGAUGACCAAGGUGGUAACAACAAUCAAGUUUAAUCAUUGUUUGAACUUGAUUAACAUCCUGAGAAUUUGAGCACCUUUAGGUGUAUGGCGCUCGAGAGCGCAUUUGGAGGCACUACAAAAGAUAGCUUUAUCGAAUUUGGGGAGUUGAAGGAAGUAUGUGAAGAUGUGAUUAUCCUAAUCAAAUCUUCAAGGUGGAGAUUGUUGAAAAGUCAACAAAGGUAGGAAGCAACUUGUUAAAAAGGUUGAGCAAGUUGCACCGAAUGUUGAAAAGUUGAAUGGGAUAAUUGCAAUUUUGGUCCCUAAUUUUUUAGGCCAUUUGCAAGUUAGUCCCUGAACCUCAACUAUAAAUAGGCCUUUUCAUUUUUCAUUUCAACCAUCCCAACCAAUCUUUCUCUCUUAGUUUUCUCUCUUCUCCCAUUUGAGAAUUCUUAAGGAAUUCUAUUUGUUUGUAAUAUUUUGGAGAUAGUAAAGUUAUCAUCUGGUGUUAGUGCCCGAGGACGUAGGUAUAAUUUACCGAACCUCGUUAAAUCUCUUGUGUUCUUUCUUGUCCUAUUUUUCUUUCAAUAUUUGAGGGUAUAAUAGUAGUAUUUAAUUGUGCUAUUAAAUUACUA